CAAAACUCCAGAUCCUCUCUCUCUCUCUCUCUCUCUCUCUCUCUACGACUCAAGAACAUCAUGCCAGAUCUCUUAUCAGAUGCCGUUUCUUGACAAGAUCGUUGAAGUGGUUCCGACACCUGAGCUCUGGUGGAGGAGACUAGGGUUUCGGCGAAGAUAAAGCCAUCGGAGGCUGAACCACCGGUGCAGGUAUCAUCUUCAUCAUCUAAACUAUCAUUGUUGGGAACAUGGAUGCCGUUUAUUGUUUACAAUUAGAUCCAUUGGCAGCUAUUGAACCAUCUUUCUUCAAGGUUGAAAACCCAAUUAAUUGAGAUGUACGAUAGAUUCCGGGUAGGAGCGGUUGCAGGCGGAACAUAUCCAGCAAUUGGAGUGGAUACAACCUGGUUAAGAAACAGGGCUCGAAGGGAAUGUAUGUAGAUUCCAUGAGGUUGUUGGGGCUGUGGGGUAUAGGGUGUAUGUCCCCAUUUCCAGCUAUCUCAGGUAUUUUACUGUCACGUCGACGGUAUUAUAUGUGCAAACUAUUGAUUUGUCUCCGCUUUUAGAAUUCCGGCGACUUUUGGAGGCACAGAUGGUGAUUUUAAGCUGUUUGGGGUUCUAGACACUUGACAAACCCUAAGGUAAGAUUUUGAGUUUUCAUCACUCAUUGCGAGUUUUAGUUUAUGUUAGUAAUUGUGUUUUGUGUUUGCUGUGAAGAAACCUUUCUAAGUGGCUGUGAGUCGAGUCGUGUAAUAAGUAGCCCUCAAAAUUUUCAAGGACACAUCUAUCCUCCAUGGGAACAAGCUUGCAGACAACUGAUACAGCUUCUGGAAGAAGCACUAGAGUAAAGUGGAAAUGAUAUUGGUCCUGUCAAUAAGAGUCUCAACCAGCUUUUUCUAUUCAAAUCAAAGACAACUACACCUCAGGUAUGAUUUUGGUAACCCAUUCUAGGGUUUCGAUGGGAUUCCGGCAAUGGCAGAACAGACCACCACUAGCAAGCCAACGAAGACGUGUUCAGGCAAGGUUACGACCACUAGAAAAUGUUUCGUGUUAGGGUUUUCGAUGGACAGAAAGGAGCUGCUUGGAGAUGGGUCAAAGUCCAGUCAACUGAGUCACACUGAACCAGAGAGUCACCUUUCAAGUAUUUGCUACCUAACAUGGGUCGUAUAUCACCAAUGUCCUCACUAACAAGAUCAACCGUCGUGAAAUUGUUUGAAGCUAGCAAGUAGCCAGUGAUUACUGUCAGUUCUUUUUUCACUUUUAGCCAUUCAACUUUAUAGUCAUAGUUAUUAAAGGCGUGAGGCGCACUCAUGGCGUUUUGUUGGGCCAGGGGCCUUAUUUGCGCCUGGGCUCUCUCUAUAAUAACUAUAUUGGCAUACAUGAAUUACCUGAAAAUAAUUUAAAUUUAUGAGGGUGGUGAUAUAGUAGUUUUUGUAUGGGUUGAAAUGGGUUGAAUGGGCUGACCCAAAACAGUUUGUAUGUAUUUUGGGGGUUAAAUAUAGUAGUUUUUGUAUGGGUUGAAUGGGCUGACCCAAAACAGUUUCUGUAUAAAUCCGUUUUUCAUAUUUGAAGUAGUUAGGGUCUUAAAUAUGAUCACAAAAACUAGAAUGUGUACUUUAUUUUGUAAGUAUCUGGGUGGUUUCAAAUGGGUAGUUUUUUUAUGGAUUGAAACUGGCGAGUGGCAUAAUCUGAACCAAACAUUUCUGAAACGAAGCUUUUACUAGAUGCCGAGAUAGUUUCAGAAGUGAUAAAGCGUCGUAUUCAACAACACUUACAUCAUGUUUAUAAUUUCAAGAAUAUUCCAUGGGAAUUAAUGAAUCGCGAACACAUUCUGUUAGUUUAGGCAAUUUGCCUCUCGCUUGGCCAUAUGCACAUGAUGGUAACCUGAUUAUGUUUCAAAUACAUUUAGUUUACUUUUUGUGUUUAUUAUUAGCUUAUUAUUUAUGUUGCAGAUUUUAUCCACAAAUUAUAUUUGUUUGAUAGUUUGAUACAGAAAGGUAAUAAUUUCUAACAUAGAAAGUAUUUGAGGUAAAAGCAUAACCCAAAGUUCAUUUGACCCGGAGGCACUGCUAAUCGGUUCGAUGUCAAAGGCUGCCGAGAGCUGGAUACAUCAUGUGUGGAAGCACAUCUUUCUACAUGACCAUGAUACCCUCCAAAAGCAUAAAACCAUAGUUCUGUGUCUAUACAACAAGUCUUUCAAGGCUGAGGUAUUCUUGAGCUGUCUGCACAUCCUUGGGCAAAGCUGGAUAUACCAGGUGCUGGGUUUUAUAUUGCUUUUGAUGUUCGUGCUGGAUUAUGUCUGGAAGUGUGAUAGAAUAAUUCUGUGGUUAUUGAAUCUGGCUCUGAUCAUUUUCUUGCUGUCUGGGAGUGUCAAGUGCUCAGUGUAUGAGACUGCGAUGCAUAUAUGACCAAGCUUCGAGUUACAGGUACAGGUUUUGCAUGAUAACAGAUCAUACAAACUGCAUACAUAGGUGGUCAAAGUAUGGGAUACAUUGUUAAGGCCCUGGUUGGGGUAUCUGGCUGAUGUCUAUGGGCUUCCUUAGAGGGCUGGGCUCGGUGAAUAAGCUGAUGCUAAAGGCCCACCAAGUUCAUGAGCAUGGCUAUUGUAUAACUCAAUUUCUAAAGGCCCAAGUUCAGAUGAUUUGUAUGCAUUUUGAUCACCUGCCGUUGAAGCAAAUGACCAACAUCAGAGGUUUUGGAAGCGAAAAGCCCAAUCUCGAACCAUUUGGAGGUUACUUGGGUCCGUUUAUAGAGAUGUUUUCGGCUUAUGAAGAUCCAUAAGCUGCAGAUUCUCCUUCAUGGCAAUCUCACUUUAGGAUGGGGAGCCAUAUGUAUGCCGUUUAAAAGCAACAGUGACAAAAACGCUUAUGACCUGCCUUGGGGCGCUAGGAACUUUUACAAUUUUUGUAAUAGUAAUAGGGUUGGUGAGUAUACUUGUAUUACUCAGAGUAA